GAUGAACGCUAGCGGAAGGCAUAAUACAUGCAAGUCGAACGGAUGUAGCAAUACAUUAGUGGCGCACGGGUGCGUAACGCGUAUGCAACCUACCUUCAUCAGGGGGAUAACUACCCGAAAGGGUGGCUAACACCGCAUAAUACUAUUGAGUGGCAUCACUUGAUAUUUAAAUCUGAGGAAGAUGAAGAUGGGCAUGCGUCUGAUUAGCUAGUUGGUGUGGUAACGGCGCACCAAGGCGACGAUCAGUAGGGGAACUGAGAGGUUGGUCCCCCACACUGGCACUGAGAUACGGGCCAGACUCCUACGGGAGGCAGCAGUAGGGAAUAUUGGUCAAUGGUGGGAACACUGAACCAGCCAUUCCGCGUGCAGGAAGAAGGGUCUCUGACUUGUAAACUGCUUUAGCAAGGGAAGAAAAAGCUCAUGCGUGAGAAAUUGACGGUACCUUGAGAAUAAGCACCGGCUAACUACGUGCCAGCCGCCGCCGUAAUAC
rnacentral:rRNA from 1 species